rnacentral:piRNA from 1 species
UGGGAAGAAGAUUCGAAGCUACAUGGCC